rnacentral:rRNA from 1 species
UACGGGGGGGGCAAGCGUUGUUCGGAAUUACUGGGCGUAAAGGGCUCGUAGGCGGCCAACUAAGUCGGACGUGAAAUCCCCAGGCUCAACCUGGGAACUGCGUCCGAUACUGGAUGGCUUGAAUCCGGGAGAGGGAUGCAGAAUUCCAGGUGUAGCGGUGAAAUGCGUAGAUAUCUGGAGGAACACCGGUGGCGAAGGCGGCAUUCUGGACCGAUAUUGACGCUGAGGAGCGAAAGCCAGGGGAGCAAACGGG